UGGGAUUAAAACAUGAACCACCAUGGAUG
rnacentral:piRNA from 1 species